UACGUAGGUGGCAAGCGUUGUCCGGAAUUAUUGGGCGUAAAGCGCGCGCAGGCGGUCUUUUAAGUCUGAUGUGAAAUCUUGCGGCUCAACCGCAAGCGGCCAUUGGAAACUGGGGGGCUUGAGUACAGAAGAGGAGAGUGGAAUUCCACGUGUAGCGGUGAAAUGCGUAGAUAUGUGGAGGAACACCAGUGGCGAAGGCGACUCUCUGGUCUGUAACUGACGCUGAGGCGCGAAAGCGUGGGGAGCAAACAGG
rnacentral:rRNA from 1 species